rnacentral:rRNA from 1 species
UACGUAGGGGGCAAGCGUUAAUCGGAGUUACUGGGCGUAAAGGGCGCGUAGGCGGUCAUUUAAGUUGGAUGUGAAAUCCCUGGGCUUAACCUAGGAACUGCAUUCAAUACUGGAUGACUAGAAUAUUGUAGAGGGUAGUGGAAUUUCCGGUGUAGCGGUGAAAUGCGUAGAGAUCGGAAGGAACACCAGUGGCGAAGGCGGCUACCUGGACAAAUAUUGACGCUGAGGCGCGAAAGCGUGGGGAGCAAACAGG